AUUGAACGCUGGCGGCAGGCCUAACACAUGCAAGUCGAACGAGUGGCGGACGGGUGAGUAAUGUCUGGGAAACUGCCCGAUGGAGCGGGACAAGUACUGGAACCGGUAGCUAAUACCGCAUACCAUCGGAUGUGCCCAGAUGGGUUUAGGUAGUAGGUGGGGUAAAGGCCCACCAAGGCGACGAUCCCUAGCUGGUCUGAGAGGAUGACCAGCCACACUGGGACUGAGACACGGCACAGACUCCUACGGGAGGCAGCAGUGGGGAAUAUUGCACAAUGGGCGCAAGCCUGAUGCAGCCAUGCCGCGUGUAUGAAGAAGGCCUUCGGGUUGUAAAGUACUUUCAGCGGGGAGGCGUUACCCGCAGAAGAAGCACCGGCUAACUCCGUGCCAGCAGCCGCGGUAAUAC
rnacentral:rRNA from 1 species